UACGUAGGGUGCAAGCGUUAACCGGAAUUACUGGGCGUAAAGCGUGCGCAGGCGGUUUUGUAAGUCUGUCGUGAAAGCCCCGGGCUCAACCUGGGAAUUGCGAUGGAGACUGCAAGGCUUGAAUCUGGCAGAGGGGGGUAGAAUUCCACGUGUAGCAGUGAAAUGCGUAGAGAUGUGGAGGAACACCGAUGGCGAAGGCAGCCCCCCUGGGUCAAGAUUGACGCUCAUGCACGAAAGCGUGGGGAGCAAACAGG
rnacentral:rRNA from 1 species